AGAGUUUGAUCAUGGCUCAGGACGAACGCUGGCGGCGUGCCUAACACAUGCAAGUCGAACGGUUGAGAGGUGAGAGUUGGGAGGUUAGAAGUGAGAGCUUGAAGGUAUUGGCCAACAUGCCAAUACCAGCAAUGAAGUCUCACAUCCCGCUUCCCACAUCUCACUUCUCAAUAGUGGCGGACGGGUGAGUAACGCGUGGGCAACCUACCCAUCAGACUGGGAUAACACCGGGAAACUGGUGCUAAUACCGGAUACGCUUAUGGAGGGGCAUCCCUUUGUAAGGAAAGAAAAUCGCUGAUGGAUGGGCCCGCGUCUGAUUAGCUAGUUGGUGGGGUAGUGGCCUACCAAGGCGACGAUCAGUAGCCGGCCUGAGAGGGUGACCGGCCACACUGGGACUGAGACACGGCCCAGACUCCUACGGGAGGCAGCAGUGGGGAAUAUUGCGCAAUGGGGGAAACCCUGACGCAGCAACGCCGCGUGAGUGACGAAGGCCUUCGGGUCGUAAAGCUCUGUCGACAGGGACGAAUAGAUGACGGUACCUGAGGAGGAAGCCCCGGCUAACUACGUGCCAGCAGCCGCGGUA
rnacentral:rRNA from 1 species